rnacentral:rRNA from 1 species
GACGAACGCUGGCGGCGUGCCUAAUACAUGCAAGUUGAGCGAUGAAGCUUGGUGCUUGCACCAAUUUGAAGAGCAGCGAACGGGUGAGUAACGCGUGGGGAAUCUGCCUUUGAGCGGGGGACAACAUUUGGAAACGAAUGCUAAUACCGCAUAACAACUUUAAACAUAAGUUUUAAGUUUGAAAGAUGCAAUUGCAUCACUCAAAGAUGAUCCCGCGUUGUAUUAGCUAGUUGGUGAGGUAAAGGCUCACCAAGGCGAUGAUACAUAGCCGACCUGAGAGGGUGAUCGGCCACAUUGGGACUGAGACACGGCCCAAACUCCUACGGGAGGCAGCAGUAGGGAAUCUUCAGCAAUGGACGAAAGUCUGACCGAGCAACGCCGCGUGAGUGAAGAAGGUUUUCGGAUCGUAAAACUCUGUUGGUAGAGAAGAACGUUGGUGAGAGUGGAAAGCUCAUCAAGUGACGGUAACUACCCAGAAAGGGACGGCUAACUACGUG